rnacentral:piRNA from 1 species
UAUUUGGAAACAGGGUCUUUGCU